GUUGGUGUCUAUGGCGAAGAGGUCCACCCGUUCCCAUCCCGAACACGGUAGUUAAGCUCUUUUGCGCCGACAAUACUUGGGUGGCGACGCCCCGGGAAGAUAGGUCGAUGCCAACA
rnacentral:rRNA from 1 species